ACAGUGGUAGCCUAGUGGUCAUGGUCACUAGCUUGUGGCCAGAUUGUUGCAGGUUCAAGUCCUGAUGCCACUGAA